rnacentral:rRNA from 1 species
CUGAGUAACCGAUUAAAUAAAUCAAAACUUUCAACAACGGAUCUCUUGGUUCUGGCAUCGAUGAAGAACGCAGCGAAAUGCGAUAAGUAAUGUGAAUUGCAGAAUUCAGUGAAUCAUCGAAUCUUUGAACGCACAUUGCGCCCGCUAGUAUUCUG